rnacentral:rRNA from 1 species
AUACGUAGGGGGCGAGCGUUGUCCGGAAUGAUUGGGCGUAAAGGGCGCGUAGGCGGCGCGGUAAGUCUGGAGUGAAAGUCCUGCUUUCAAGGUGGGAAUUGCUUUGGAUACUGCCGCGCUUGAGUGCAGGUGAGGUUAACGGAAUUCCCGGUGUAGCGGUGAAAUGCGUAGCGAUCGGGAGGAACACCAGUGGCGAAGGCGGGUAACUGGACUGCAACUGACGCUGAGGCGCGAAAGUGUGGGGAGCAAACAGGAUUAGAUACCCUGGUAGUCCACACUGUAAACGAUGAAUGCUAGGUGUAAGAGGUAUCGACCCCUUUUGUGCCGGAGUCAACACAAUAAGCAUUCCGCCUGGGGAGUACGGCCGCAAGGUUGAAACUCAAAUGAAUUGACGGGG